CGACGACGACGACGAGCGGUCUCCAGAACUGACCUGAGGUGUGGGGGGGCCGGGGUGCGUCGAGUUCGGGCUGAGGUGUGAGGGAAGAGAGACGGCCCGAGCUAGUGUGAUCAGUCUGCCUGCCUCUGUGAUCCCCCGCAGCACUGGCUGGAAGUCCGCCGCGUGUCAGUGAGGAGCUGCUGCAGAAGGAAGAAGAAGCGGCGUGGGGACCUGGGAGGCAGGAGCAAGCAAGAAGAGGAAGCGGAAGCGUGCAGAUGCGGGGGGGAAGGAGAGAGGCUCCCUGGGCAAAGCACCUGUCCCGUUAGCAGGGGCACAGUCACGUUUGAGUUGAGAGCUGCCGGCGCCUUUGGUGACCAGGCUGGCGUUGUGCUGGGCGACCUCCCCGUAAGCGGGGCUCGGGUCUUUGCUGUAGUUGGCCUUUUGCCUUGCUGCUCCUUUGGCUGCCUGGGGAGCGUGGCCCCCUGUAACGGAGGGCGAGAGCCACCUCUCCGCACCUGAGUGGGAAAUGGAGCUCGCCGGACCCCAAGGCCACCCUGUAAGCAGGGUAGUGCCGUUCCCUGCCCCUCUUCCUCCCCCGGCCCCUCGCAUCGUUGCCUGAUGGUGGCUUGUCAACGCGACGGCCCCGUACUCGG
rnacentral:lncRNA from 1 species